UAUUCACAAUGUGAUCUUAUUUCUGUUCCUGAAAAGUUGUUUUCAGUGUAUUUUCUCCUUGAAAUCGAUCACUUCAGGUACUAUUACUGUGCAUACCUAGCUAAAUUAGUGUCUAGUUUCGUCUCUGAUGACCUUUAUUUCGUAAAAAUCGCUGUUUUUUUCUAAAAAGGUAUUUUUGUGGUCAUUUUGGCUGUUUAUUUCGAGGGUACGGUAGGAGGUCAUCGUUCACUCGAUAACUCUUUUUAAAAUGAAAUAAAAGCGUUUUAAGAUACAUGAUAUGAAUUGAUAUUAAUAUUCGUUAAGUGGGAUUGUCGGUGGACGUUCAUUGUUGAACAGUUGUGCUGGAAUUACGAAAAUAUAUCGAUAUCGUUGAGAGUUCAUUCAUUAGGGGCCUGUUCUCAAUUUUCCUUACAACGCCUCUAGUACUGGGCAAUUGCCACCAUCUUGAAAAGCAGUGCCGCGGAUGGCUAUCGCAUCGCCACUACGCAUGAGAACACGAUGGCUGCCCUGCGCUGCAUUGAUAGUUCGUAAUAAAUUCACAUAAAAACACACCAGAAGAUCUCCGAUUUUAUUUACAAAGAUCAUAUUUUGUUAUUUAUUGAUAAAACAAGCCAUUUUACCACAGCAGGUGACACAUAUUAGGCCUGAAUAAGACUUUAGAAUUUGAAGUGGUGGUGACGAUGCCGAUAUCCAAGAUGGCGGAAUUAUACCAGUGGUCAAAUCUCAUCUAUUUUGGUUAGACUUCGAGAUCUACAUUUUCGACAAAGGCCUGGUGUAAUAUUACGUACUUGAUGAAGGUUUAAUGACACGAAUGAGUACAAGUACAUUACAUUUUUCGACGAAGGCCUUCUGUAAUUUCAUACGCUUCUUACGCAACAUUCAAUAGAUUUAUUUACUGUAUUAUCAUUUCGACCAAGGCGAAUUCGACACUUCAAUUACACAAGCACAAUCAAACUUAGUCAUUCCAGUCAGUUACUGAAGCACAGCGAAAACUGUCUGAAUUAGUGCUGCUGAUGGCAUGUAAUUACUCUACUACCACUACCAGUGACAGUCAAUGUCCAUAUAUUUUCAAGUGUGCGAAAUUAGUACUCGUCUACUUCUUAGUGUUAUUUGAAUGCAAUGUAUGUUAUAAAAAUAUUUUUUCAACACUAUAUCAACAUUCUCAUUCCUGUCAGUUUCUGAAAAUCAGCUAAAGCAAUCGCUACCAAUGCAGCUGAUAACAGCAAUUCUUUUUGUUCCCAAUGCCCAUCCAUGACAAUAUAUUUCACGCAUGUGACAAUCAUGUAAUCAUCCUGUUUUUUGUGUUCUAUUCAUGCAAUAAAUAAAUUCAGUAUUUUCAAAUCAUUGGUGCUACAAAACUAUUCUCAUUAUAGAUUAUUCAUAUUUUAUAAAAUGCUGUCAUGUCAAAUUUUGUGUCCUAUAAAUCAUUAUGAAGUCGGCAUUUUAUAUACAACUUUUGUACUCCUCCUAAAUAAACAUACAAAUCUUGUUUUAUGUAAACUUUGUAUAUGUGACCCGUCACAGCAAAACCAGGCGCAUGUCGCUCUGAGCUUGGCAGGUUGAGACGGACUGUUUGUUCAUUUAUCUAUUGUCUGCCUUUUGUAAAAUAUGAGCACAUCAAUUUCUUCCAUUAUCUCCUGGUGUCAUUUAGGCUCAUCUCCUGUGCGACAUGUACCUGGUUUUGCUGUGACGGGUCACAUAUUCUAUAGAUAUACAACACUCUAAUGUCACAAUGCCUCUCUCACUCGCUUUUAUAUAGCAAGAUGUAUGAAUAAACAUGACACACCAACUAUGUACAAAAUUGCUAACAAACUGCACCAUUUGUCAGUACACCACAUGAAAUACAGAGAUAUGUCUUAAUUCUAAUCUUUCAUUAGCGACACCAUUUCUUACCCGAGUGCCUCCUUCAUUCAUACAUCUUGUACUUUAACUCAAGAUACCCAUCUUUGAAUAUUUUUAGCAUACCAAGUACUACAAUGUCAUUGUAUUGAAGUCAUGUUCUUGUAGUGUUAUUGGCUUUCUAUUAUCUUGUCAAAAUACCACUUGGUUCUCGCAAAAUCUCAAUAAAAACAAAUGCUAUUGCAUGUAUUGCAUAUUCUAACAGCUAUCCACUGUAUCGAUUUAUCCAUCAUCUGUACUAUUUGUCACAAAAAUGUUAUAUUAUGUAAAUCAUAUUUCAUUACAUAAUGCACACUGCCAAUUACUGCUGAA